UGAGUACGAGAUGCUACGGCAUCGAAGCAGUGUAUGUCAGACUUCCAAGAAAAGCUCGCAAUGUCAUAAAUAAAUAAUGCCUGUACCAUAACCGACACAGGUGGGUAGGUAGAGUAUACUAAGGGGCGCGAGAUAACUCUCUCUAAGGAACUCGGCAAAAUGACUCCGUAACUUCGGGAGAAGGAGUACCUUAUUUAUAAGGUUGCAAUAACAAGAUCCAAGCAACUGUUUACCAAAAACACAGGUCUCCGCUAAGUCGUAAGACGAUGUAUGGGGGCUGACGCCUGCCCAGUGCCAGAAGGUUAAAGAAGUUGGUUAGCAUUAGCGAAGCUGAUGACUGAAGCCCUGGUGAACGGCGGCCGUAACAAUAACGGUCCUAAGGUAGCGAAAUUCCUUGUCGGGUAAGUUCCGACCCGCACGAAAGGCGUAAUGAUUUGGAUACUGUCUCGGAGAGGGGCUCGGUGAAAUAGACUUGUCUGUGAAGAUGCGGACUACCUGCACCAGGACAGAAAGACCCUAUGAAGCUUUACUGUAACCUGAAAUUGAAAUUGGACUUUAUUUGCGCAGUAUAGGUGGGAGGCGUUGAGAAUAUUCUUGCGGGAAUAUUGGAGCCAUCAGUGAGAUACCACUCUUGUAAUGUUAGAUUUCUAACUUUGAAUCAUAAUCUGGUCAAAGAACAGUUUCAGGCGGGCAGUUUGACUGGGGCGGUCGCCUCCCAAAUGGUAACGGAGGCGUACAAAGGUUUCCUCUGAACGUGUAGAAAUCGUAUCUAGAGUGUAAAGGCAUAAGGAAGCUUGACUGUGAGACCUACAAGUCGAGCGGGGACGAAAGUCGGUCUUAGUGAUCUGACGGUGCUGAGUGGAAAGGCCGUCACUCAACGGAUAAAAGUUACUCUAGGAUAACAGGCUGAUCUCCCCCAAGAGUUCACAUCGACGGGGAGGUUUGGCACCUCGAUGUCGGCUCAUCGCAUCCUGGGGCGGUAGUACGUCCCAAGGGUUGGGCUGUUCGCCCAUGAAAGCGGUACGCGAGCUGGGUUCAGAACGUCGUGAGACAGUUCGGUCCAUAUCCGGUGUAGGCGUUAGAAUAUUGAGAGGAGCCUUCUUUAGUACGAGAGGACCGAGAAGGACAUACCUCUGGUGUACCAGUUAUCGUGCCAACGGUAAACGCUGGGUAGCUAUGUGUGGAGAGGAUAACCGCUGAAAGCAUCUAAGUGGGAAGCCCACCUCAAGAUAAGUAUUCUC
rnacentral:rRNA from 1 species